rnacentral:rRNA from 1 species
UGAGUGCAGAANGGGGAGAGUGGAAUUCCAUGUGUAGCGGUGAAAUGCGUAGAUAUAUGGAGGAACACCAGUGGCGAANGCGGCUCUCUGGUCUGUCACUGACGCUGAGGCUCGAAAGCGUGGGUAGCGAACAGGAUUAGAUACCCUGGUAGUCCACGCCGUAAACGAUGAGUGCUAGGUGUUAGGCCCUUUCCGGGGCUUAGUGCCGGAGCUAACGCAAUAAGCACUCCGCCUGGGGAGUACGACCGCAAGGUUGAAACUCAAAGGAAUUGACGGGGGCCCGCACAAGCGGUGGAGCAUGUGGUUUAAUUCGAAGCAACGCGAAGAACCUUACCAGGUCUUGACAUCCCGAUGCUAUUCUUAGAGAUAGGAAGUUACUUCGGUACAUCGGAGACAGGUGGUGCAUGGUUGUCGUCAGCUCGUGUCGUGAGAUGUUGGGUUAAGUCCCGCAACGAGCGCAACCCUUAUUGUUAGUUGCCAUCAUUAAGUUGGGCACUCUAGCGAGACUGCCGGUAAUAAACCGGAGGAAGGUGGGGAUGACGUCAAAUCAUCAUGCCCCUUAUGACCUGGGCUACACACGUGCUACAAUGGUCGGUACAACGAGUUGCGAGCCGGUGACGGCAAGCUAAUCUCUGAAAGCCGAUCUCAGUUCGGAUUGGAGGCUGCAACUCGCCUCCAUGAAGUCGGAAUCGCUAGUAAUCGCGGAUCAGCACGCCGCGGUGAAUACGUUCCCGGGCCUUGUACACACCGCCCGUCACACCACGAGAGUUUGUAACACCCGAAGUCGGUGAGGUANCCUUUUAGGGGCC